rnacentral:rRNA from 1 species
GACGAACGCUGGCGGCGUGCUUAACACAUGCAAGUCGAGCGAUGAAACUACUUCGGUAGUGAAUUAGCGGCGAACGGGUGAGGAACACGUGAGGAAUCUGCCUUCUACACUGGGAUAACUCCGGGAAACCGGGCUAAUACCGGAUAUGAAACUUGGUGGCAUCACCGAGUUUGGAAAGUUUUUCGGUAGAAGAUGACCUCGCGGCCUAUCAGCUUGUUGGUGAGGUAAUGGCUCACCAAGGCGACGACGGGUAGCCGGCCUGAGAGGGCGACCGGCCACACUGGGACUGAGACACGGCCCAGACUCCUACGGGAGGCAGCAGUGGGGAAUAUUGGGCAAUGGAGGAAACUCUGAUCCAGCCAUUCCGCGUGCCAGGAUGAAGGCCCUCGGGUUGUAAACUGCUUUUGUACGGAACGAAAAGGUCU